UAUGUAUUCAUUUAUUUUUAUGUUUUUGGUUGAAUGAUUGUUUAUUUUUUUAUCCCAACCAGUUCCAUUCAUUUUUAGAUCUAUGCUAGGUCAGAGGGCUUUUCCUCUUUUCUUCGCUCGAACAGCUCCCUGUAGUCGCCGCGCCAUCGUCUACUCCAGCCUCCAAUGUCGACGUGGAUCAUCCGUGAAGCUCCAACCUACUAUGGCACUGUCGAUCGCGUGCUGUUCGCCUACAGGUGUGGAGCUCCAGAUUUCGUGCAGAGCCAUUGUCGACUCGUCCUCAGGCUCUAAUCUUUAGCCAAGUCACUGCUGUCUCCUCCUCAGAAGCUGUCUUGCUGCUUGGCCAUUGCUAUGUACAGCUCGUUCGAUUGUAGGUUUGUUCCAUUUGAAAUGUUGUGGCUACCUCCAGUUUAGUUUACUAUUUUGCAGGGAGCAUUAGGGCUCUGCUUUGGGAUCUGAUCUGAUUUUCUAGUGAUUUGAAUGCUAUUCAUGCACUAAGAUUGUUCUGCCCAUCCCUCUACGGAAUCAGAACAUCUUAUGUACAAUUAGAACUAGAAUUAGAAUGUGGAACCCAGAGCACUUAACGUGUUCCGUUGUAUAGCUGAGAUAUGGGUACAUUGACGUGCGCAACGAGCAAGAGCCUUGCGAGAGAUUAUUGGUUGAGAGGUUGAAGGAAUUCAUUUUUGGAUAGGGUUGGGUGUCACAGAGAAUACUGAUACAGAAUGGUGAAACUAAGGUUGAAGAUGGAGUCCAAGAGUCUUGUAGUGAAGAGAGACCGCAAAAGGCUGUUAAAAGAGACAUUGAGGCCGUUGACAGAAUGAUGAGAGCUGAUGUUGUUCAGUUGAUUGGUGAGAGUGAGGUGGUUGCUGACAACUUUCUGAAGAAAAACUUGAGACAAAGUGACAAAGUGUUCAAUAUGGUUCCUCAUAAGUGUUUGGUCAAGGUGGCUAUGAUAUACGAGCUUUAAAUCAGAGCACACCUGUUAUACUAUGCUUAAUCACUUGCAUGUUCAGUUGGGUUUACUGUCGAAACGGUACUGCAAUAUAACAACAAUAAAUUUCGAGUUUGGAAUUUAGGACUUUAAGGAGUUUUAUUGAUGAGCGGCACACAAGAUUUGCUGAAAUUGCAAAAGAAGCAAAAAUAAAAGUUGCUGCAGCUAAGGAAAAGGUAGCGACUUAUGAGGUUGUGCAUCUUUUGUGGAUGUAUUAUACUUUUUUCAAAAUUGCCUACAUAAUUUGUGGAUUUAUUUUAUCUGGAGGAAAGAAGUCUCAAGCAAAAAAAUGAGGCAAGGGCCGGGUUCCUAAAAAGUAAGAUCUGUUUCUUUAGAUUUUCUGUUCAGAUCAUUUUGCAAAGUUCAUGGCCACCCAGAGAUCUCAUUCUUCCAUCUUUUGUCAAAGUUUGGAUGCGGGUGCAUGGUUCCCACAUUUUAAAAAUCAUAUAAGUUACUAUUUGUAUGACUACUUUUUUAUUGCACGUUUGUAUCUUUUUAUAUAUACUUUAUUUUUCCUUUCAUCAUUCUUAUAUGCAGUUCAUUUUCCAUGUUCUUUACAUGAGUAUCUUGAUAGAAAUGUUAAUGCGAAAUGAUAGAUUACUCCUGGCGAUAAAUGCAUUUCUGUUCUAUAUGGUAUUAGUAUCUAGCUCUCUUUUUCAGGAAACUUAGCAUUCUCCUAAUAGGGGGAGAGUUGAUUAUUAGAGUUGACACCAAAGGCUCAUAUUACAAUAUAAGGGGGCUUCGUGCUAAAAAGUAUUAAUAUGAUUUGUUUGCUUGUGCAUGCAAAACUGUAACUAAACUUCGGGUUAAUCCAGGGCUACCUUUCACUGGUGUCGUAAUAUCUAUCCUUUCGUUAAGAAAAUCUGGGAGCCUGAACGUUGUUGUGGAUAGAUUUUUUCCUUUCUUAGCUGUUCUAGUUUGUUAUGUAUACUAUCUUUUCAUUUUGCUUUCUUAGCUUCCAGCAAUGCUGCCUGCAAUAAGAGGGAACAAGUGAAUUUGUAGCAUUUAUGGAUGAUCUUUUGAUCUGCUCAUGCUGAUAUUUCUCUUGGCUCGGAUUUUGGAGGAGCUAAACUUAGCAUGGAGUAAUUCAUUGGCUUGUGCAUAUAUUCUUUCUGGGUGUGAUUACUGUGAUAGUAUUCAUAAUUAAUAUGACAUUUAUGGUUUAACUAAGUUAUUUUUCCUUAUUUUUUUGCAGAUAGAUUGUGAAUGAGUACUCUACAAUCGAAUAAGAAUGGUGUUAGGUGUACUUAUUUGUACUUUUCAAGUAUUUGAAUUGUUCUAAAAUUCUUAGAUUGUAAUCUACAUUAUAUUCAUGUCUAUUGUAGUGUUGAAAAUUUGUUGGUUGAACUUUUGUAUAUAUAGUGGAAUUGCUUAUAUACUUAAAUUAAUUAUAUACAUAUAUUUUUUUU